UCAUAAGGUGCAGUGGUCCAAUAUCCAUGUCACACAUGCAGUUGGAGAGAACAAGGUCCCCCACAAAGGAAAAAAAGCAUACAGUUGGAGAGAAGUUCAAGAAAACUGUUUCUCUUUUAAUCUUUAUUACUCCCUAUGAUACCUUGUGUCGUACGUUUACAAGGAGUUCAGACCAGCACUUCGACGAUGUUAUAAAAUUGGUUUCGGCAAAUCGGGGUAGCUAGAGAAAUGUUGACAAACGACAGAGCAAGACAAGCAUGCCAACCGAUGAUCAACCGCGAUGGAUGGAUGGAUGAUGAGAUCAGUGAUGCUGGGGGUUAGAGCCCCCGGGACUGAGCCGCUUCGACCUAUCAUACGAUAUGUCUGGCGUGUCACGCGGCCACGUCCCUGCCGUGCUCGCCGGCGCCGGCGGGCUGCUGCCGAUGACCACAACGUCCUGCAGCCCACGCCGGCCCAGCAGAGUCAGUGGACGGUCGCCAGAGAGUGGGACGGGAGACGAGGCGACGCCCACGGCGAGAACGACUAGGACACACAAGCACAUCAGUAGUUUCAUGGCUAAUGCAGCUCUGUGUCUAGCUUAGCUUUCCGUGAGAAUUGGGCUAAUGCAGCUCCGUG
rnacentral:lncRNA from 1 species